CUCAUUAAAUCAGUUAUCGUUUAUUUGAUAGUACCUUACUACUUGGAUAACCGUGGUAAUUCUAGAGCUAAUACAUGCUAAAAACCCCAACUUCGGAAGGGGUGUAUUUAUUAGAUAAAAAACCAAUGCCCUUCGGGGCUCUUUGGUGAUUCAUGAUAACUUCUCAGAUCGCAUGGCCUUGCGCCGGCGACGGUUCAUUCAAAUUUCUGCCCUAUCAACUUUCGAUGGUAAGGUAUUGGCUUACCAUGGUUUCAACGGGUAACGGGGAAUUAGGGUUCGAUUCCGGAGAGGGAGCCUGAGAAACGGCUACCACAUCCAAGGAAGGCAGCAGGCGCGCAAAUUACCCAAUCCCGACACGGGGAGGUAGUGACAAUAAAUACUGAUACAGGGCUCUUUUGGGUCUUGUAAUUGGAAUGAGUACAAUUUAAACCUCUUAACGAGGAACAAUUGGAGGGCAAGUCUGGUGCCAGCAGCCGCGGUAAUUCCAGCUCCAAUAGCGUAUAUUAAAGUUGUUGCAGUUAAAAAGCUCGUAGUUGAACCUUGGGCCUGGCUGGCAGGUCCGCCUCACCGCGUGUACUUGACCGGCCGGGCCUUCUCUUCUGGAGAACCUCAUGCCCUUUACUGGGCGUGUUGGGGACCAGGACUUUUACUUUGAAAAAAUUAGAGUGUUCAAAGCAGGCCUUUGCUCGAAUAUGUUAGCAUGGAAUAAUAGAAUAGGACGUGCGGUCCUAUUUUGUUGGUUUCUAGGACCGCCGUAAUGAUUAAUAGGGACAGUCGGGGGCAUCAGUAUUCAAUUGUCAGAGGUGAAAUUCUUGGAUUUAUUGAAGACUAACUACUGCGAAAGCAUUUGCCAAGGAUGUUUUCAUUAAUCAGUGAACGAAAGUUAGGGGAUCGAAGACGAUCAGAUACCGUCGUAGUCUUAACCAUAAACUAUGCCGACUAGGGAUCGGGCGAUGUUUCAAUAUUGACUCGCUCGGCACCUUACGAGAAAU
rnacentral:rRNA from 1 species